rnacentral:rRNA from 1 species
CGGUAGGGGAGCGUCGUAAUCGGGCUGAAGUCGUACCGUAAGGAGCGGUGGACUGAUUACGAGUGAGAAUGUUGGCAUUAGUAGCGAGAUGUAGGUGAGAAUCCUACAGGCCGAAUAUCUAAGGUUUCCUCAGGAAGGCUCGUCCGCUGAGGGUUAGUCGGGACCUAAGCCGAGGCCGAAAGGCGUAGGCGAUGGACAACAGGUUGAUAUUCCUGUACCACUACCAUCGUUAUUAUCGAGGGUGUGACGGAGAAGGAUAGUGUGUGCUAGCGAUUGGAAAUGCUAGUCUAAGCGUUUAGGCAGUUACGGUAGGCAAAUCCGCUGUAACGUUAAUGCUGAGGCGUGAUGGGGAAGGCCCUUGAGGCUGAAGUACAUGAUUCCAUGCUUCCAAGAAAAGCAUCUAGAGAGAGAAGUAGUGCCCGUACCGCAAACCGACACAGGUAGAUGAGGAGAGAAUCCUAAGGCCGGCGGAAGAAUUGCAGUUAAGGAACUAGGCAAAUUGACCCCGUAAGUUAGCGAGAAGGGGUGCCUGCGAGAGCAGGCCGCAGAGAAUAGGCCCAAGCAACUGUUUAGCAAAAACACAGGUCUCUGCUAAAGCGCAAGCUGAUGUAUAGGGGCUGACGCCUGCACGGUGCUGGAAGGUUAAGGGGAACACUUAGCGCAAGCGAAGGUGUGAACUUAAGCCCCAGUAAACGGCGGCCGUAACUAUAACGCUCCUAAGGUAGCGAAAUUCCUUGUCAGGUAAGUUCUGACCCGCACGAAUGGCGUAAUGACUUGGGCACUGUCUCAACUGCAAAUCCGGCGAAGUUGUAGUGCGAGUGAAGAUGCUCGCUACCCGCGAUUGGACGGAAAGACCCCGUAGAGCUUUACUGUAGCUUAGCAUUGAAUUCCGGUAUUGUCUGUACAGGAUAGGUGGGAGACUGGGAAACUAGGGCGUCAGCCUUAGUGGAGUCGUCCUUGGGAUACCACCCUGACAGUACUGGGGUUCUAACAGGACGCCAUGAAUCUGGUGACUGGACAUUGUUAGGUGGGCAGUUUGACUGGGGCGGUCGCCUCCUAAAAAGUAACGGAGGCGCCCAAAGGUUCCCUCAGAACGGUCGGAAAUCGUUCGUAGAGUGCAAAGGCAGAAGGGAGCCUGACUGCGAGACCUACAAGUCGAGCAGGGACGAAAGUCGGGCUUAGUGAUCCGGUGGUACCUCGUGGGAGGGCCAUCGCUCAACGGAUAAAAGCUACCUCGGGGAUAACAGGCUGAUCUCCCCCAAGAGUCCACAUCGACGGGGAGGUUUGGCACCUCGAUGUCGGCUCGUCGCAUCCUGGGGCUGUAGUAGGUCCCAAGGGUUGGGCUGUUCGCCCAUUAAAGCGGCACGCGAGCUGGGUUCAGAACGUCGUGAGACAGUUCGGUCCCUAUCCGUCGCGGGCGUAGGAAAUUUGAGAGGAGCUGUCCUUAGUACGAGAGGACCGGGAUGGACUGACCUCUGGUGCACCAGUUGUUCUGCCAAGAGCAUGGCUGGGUAGCUAAGUCGGGAAGGGAUAAACGCUGAAAGCAUCUAAGCGUGAAGCC